UUUCCUUAUUCGGUUUUCAUUUCCUUAUACAGUUUCUAUUUCCUUAUUCGAUUUCCAUUUCCUUAUUCGAUUUUCAUUUCCUUAUUCGGUUUCCUUUUUCCUUUUUCAAUGUUUAUUUCCUUUUUCAGUUUCUAUUUCCUUAUUCGGUUUCUAUUUCCUAAUUGGAUUUUCAUUUCCUUAUUCGAUUUCCAUUUCCUUAUUCGAUUUCCAUUUCCUUAUUCGGUUUCUAUUUCCUUAUUGGGUUUCUAUUUCCUUAUUGGGUUUCUAUUUCCUUAUUGGAUUUUCGUUUCCUUAUUCGAUUUCCAUUUCCUUAUUCGGUUUUCUUUUCCUUUUUCAAUCUUCAUUUCCUUUUUCGGUUGCGAUUUCCUUAUCCGGUUUCUAUUUCCUUAUUCAGUUUCCAUUUCCUUAUUGGAUUUUC
rnacentral:lncRNA from 1 species